rnacentral:rRNA from 1 species
GGGCCCGCACAAGCGGUGGAGCAUGUGGUUUAAUUCGAUGCAACGCGAAGAACCUUACCAGGCCUUGACAUCCCCGGAACUUUCUAGAGAUAGAUUGGUGCCUCCGGGAACCGGGUGACAGGUGCUGCAUGGCUGUCGUCAGCUCGUGCCGUGAGGUGUCAGGUUAAGUCCUAUAACGAGCGCAACCCCUGUUGUUAGUUGCCAGCGAGUCAUGUCGGGAACUCUAACAAGACUGCCGGUGCAAACCGCGAGGAAGGUGGGGAUGACGUCAAAUCAUCACGGCCCUUACGUCCUGGGCUACACACGUGCUACAAUGGUCGGUACAGAGAGCAGCCACUACGCGAGUAGGAGCGAAUCUUCAAAGCCGAUCACAGUUCGGAUCGGAGUCUGCAACUCGACUCCGUG